rnacentral:rRNA from 1 species
GAUGAACGCUGGCGGCGUGCCUAAUACAUGCAAGUCGAGCGAACAGACGAGGAGCUUGCUCCUCUGACGUUAGCGGCGGACGGGUGAGUAACACGUGGAUAACCUACCUAUAAUACUGGGAUAACUUCGGGAAACCGGAGCUAAUACCGUAUAAUAUAUUGUACCGCAUGGUUCAAUAGUUAAAGACGGUUUUGCUGUCACUUAUAGAUGGAUCCGCGCCGCAUUAGCUAGUUGGUAAGGUAACGGCUUACCAAGGCAACGAUGCGUAGCCGACCUGAGAGGGUGAUCGGCCACACGGGAACUGAGACACGGUCCAUACUCCUACGGGAGGCAGCAGUAGGGAAUCUACCGCAAUGCGCGAAAGCUUGACGGAGCAACGCAGCGUGAGCGCUGAACGUACUCGGAUCGUAAAACUCUGUUAUUAGGGAAGAACAUAUGUGUACAUAACUAUGCACGUCUUGACGGUACCUAACCAGAAAGCCACGGCUAACUACGUG